rnacentral:tRNA from 1 species
CAAAAUAUAGCCUAGCUAAAGCACCUCGCUUACACCGAGAUGACACCCGAUAAACCCGGGUUAUUUUGA